UACUUAGAUAGCUUCCAUAUCUUGGCUAUUGUAAAUAAUGGUGCUAUGAACAUUGGGGUGCAUGUAUCUUUUCAAAUUAGUGUUUUCAUUUUCUUCAGAUAUAUAUCCAGGAGUGGAAUUGCUGUAUCAUAUGGCAACUCUGUUUUUAGUUUUUUGUGGAACCUUCAUGUUGUUUUCCACAGUGGCUGCACCAAUUUACAUUCCCACCAACAGUUUGCUAGGGUUCCCUUUUCUCCACAUCCUCACCAGUAUUUGUUAUUUGUGGUUUUCUGUAUGUCUUCUUGGGAAAAAUGUCUAUUCAGGUCUUCUGCCCAUUUUGUAAUCAGGUGGUUUUUUUGGUGUGGAGUUGUAUGAGCUGUUUAUAUAUUUUGGAUGCUAACCCCUCAUUGGUCAUAUCAUUUGCAAAUAUUUUCUCCCAUUCAGUAAGCUGUCUUUUUGUUUUGUUGAUGGUUUCCUGUGCUGUGCAAAAGCUUUUUAAUUAGGUCCCAUUUGUUUAUUUUUGCUUUUGUUUCCUUUGACUUAGGAGACAGAUAAAAAAAAUACUGCUACUAUUUAUGUCAGAGAGUGUUCUGCCUAUGUUUUCUUCUAGGAGUUUUAUGGUUUUGGGUCUUAUAUUUAGGGCUUUAAUCCAUUUUGAGUUUAUUUUUAUUCAUGGUGUGAGAAAAUGUUCUAAUUUCCUUUACAUGUAGCUGCUAGUCCAGUUUUCCCAGCACCAUUUAUUGAAGAGACCGUCUUUUCUCCAUUGUAUAUUCUUGCAUCUUUUGUCGUGGAUUAAUUGACCAUAAGUGCGUGGGUUUGUUUGUUUGUUUGUUUGUUUCUGGGCUCUCUAUUCUGUUCCUUUGAUAUAUGUGUCUGUUUUUAUGCCAGUACCAUACUGUUUUGAUUACUAUAACUUUGUAGUAUAGUCUGAAGUCAGGGAGGGGAUGAUUUCUCCAGCUCUGUUCUUCUUUCUCAAGAUUGUUUUGGAUAUUAGGGGUCCUUUAUGUUUCCAUACAAAUUUUAAGAUUAUUUGUUCUAGCUGUAUGGCAGCUUAGGGAAAAUGGGAAAGGGUUGAAAUAAGUGAAGCACAGGGGAUUAAGAGAGUGAAACUAUUCUGUAUGAUAACUGUAAUUGUGAGCACAUGAUAUUAUGCAUUUGUCAGAAACCCAUAGAACUUUGUAGAAUAAAGAGUGAACCUUAAUGUAUGCAAAUUUUAAAAAUCAUUUAGUAUGUUGGGUAUGCCAGGAUGAAAUGCAGAAUUGUGAUAAAACAAUAUAACUGUGCUACAAAUGUGUUAAACAACGUCACUGAAGGGUGUGGAGGAAAAAAGGUGCUGACCUAAGUAAUCUCAGAAAUGAGUGGAGUCUGUAAGAUUAAAGACAAAAUGAACUGUAUGUAAGCACUCUACCCUAGUUGAUAAUGCUAUGUCCCAGGGGAGUACAGAUUAAUGGUUUUAAUGCCACUAUACAUGCAUACUGAAAGUCAACAAUUAAGUAAAUGCAUGCAUAAUGGUGGGAGCCAAGUUUGGUUGGAGGUUACAGGUAAGUAAAAGGAGGAGGCUGGAAUCAUCCAUGUGAUAGCAGAUUAGAGUUGGAGACAUCAAUAUGGACUCAUGUUAGCUUAAUAUAGACAUAGAUGGUUAUAUAUAGAAAUACUCAUAGAUAUGUGUAUAUACAUGGGUUAGUGUACAUACAUCUGUACUUCCUUGUUCUGUCACCUGAGAGGACCUAGAGGCAAUGACACCCCAGUAGCAAUGAGCAUACCUAGCACCCAGAUCUUGGUUUCUAAUAUUAUUCUCCAACAAAAGGAACCGGAACUUGGAUAAAUGGCUGAUCUUAGGACUAGGGUAGAAAAUAAACAAGAUGAGCCUGGAGCGUCUUAUAGCGCCAAAAAGAAAGUGCUCAGGAAAACAACAACAACGCAGUGAUGGGGAUGUGUCAGAGGGACACAGCCACCUGAAAGAGCUCCCAAUGGCCAAGGCUGGAAAUGGUAAGUAACAAAAUAAAUGAAGUAGCGUAGGGUUGAAACCCAAAGUAGAAAGUAAAUGAGUCCAUACUGAUAUGAAUCAAUUAUUGAAUAAAUAAAUGAAGGAAAAUAGACAAAUUUUCUGUACCAAAGAAUUCUAAAAAUUUUAUGUAGAUCCUAUACCCUCAGGGAGGUGGAAUAGAAUUCCCCAUGUCUUAAGUUGGAGUUGAACAUAGUGACUUAUUUCAAAAGAGUACAGUAUGAGAAAGGGGAGCAAAGAGCAACUUUAUACCAGAGAAACCUGACAACACUCUGUCAGCCAAAUGAUGAGAAUCAGCGUCCAUAGUGAUGUCAUAUUGAUAUACGUACACUUGCUCUCAUGUCCUGAGAAUGGCUGUACCUCUAUGUUCUUCUUCCCCAAGCAUGUAACCCCAGUCCAAUUAUGAGAAAAACAGCUGACAAAUCCCAAUUGAGGGACAUUCUACAAAAUAUCUGACCGGUACUCCUCAAAACCGUCAAGGGCAUAAAAAACAAGGAAAGUCUGUGAAACUGUGACAACCAAGAAGAGCCUAAGGAGACAUGACAACUAAAUGUAAAUCCUAUAUGGGAUCCUGGAAUACAAAAAGGAAAUUAGGAAAAAACUGAGGAAAUAUGAAAAAAGUGUGGACUUUCUUUUUUUUUUUUUUUGUGGUACGCGGGCCUCUCACCGCAGUGGCCUCUCCCGUUGCAGAGCACAGGCUCCGGAUGCGCAGGCUCAGCGGCCAUGGCUCACGGGCACAGCCGCUCCGCGGCAUGUGGGAUCUUCCCGGACCGGGGCACGAACCCGUGUCCCCUGCAUCGGCAGGCGGACUCUCUACCACUGCGCCACCAGGGAAGCCCUGGACUUUAGUUAAUAAUAAUAACGUGUCAAUAUUGGCUCCUUAAUUGUAACAAAUAUACCAUACUAAUGCAAGAUGUUAAUAACUGGGGAAACUGGCGUGUGGAAUAUGGGAAAUCGCUAUGCUAUGUUAGCAAUGUUCCAUAAAUCUAAAGCUGUUCUAAAAUAAAACAUAAAAGAAUUUGCAAUGCCGAGUACUACCCUGAGAUUCUGAUUUAACUUGUCUGGUUUGUAGCCUGACCCUUGGGACUUUAAAAAGCUGCCCAGGUGAUUCUCAUAUGUCACCAGCAAGUCACUGCUCUAAGGGAAGUGAGGGUUUUUACAACCAGCUGCACUUCUUUUUUCCUUUCUACUUAUAAUAAAUGCUCUGACCUUGUCCCUAGUAAAAUAGCAGUGUGACUUAAUGAUUUUGGUUGUUUGAAUAAAGCAGUUCUUUAAAUGUACAGCCAGCAGUAUGGAACUUAGAGGGUGAUAUUUCCCAUUAAAUAAAAGAAUCUUGUCCAAGAAGCUCAAAGUACCAUCAACUGUUUAGGUAAACAGGGUAGGCUAGACUAUGCUGAAUGUAUCAUUGGUUUAAAUCUGUACCUAGUGGCAAUGCCUUUACUUUCUCUCUGCAAUGCUAUGCCAUAUGCCAUGUGUACAUGGAGGUAAACGAUCUGCUAAGUUUUAGGUGCAAAGGUUUGGCUUUAAUUAGACAGGAGGCUUAUUUUCUGGUGUUUGAUUGUGACAAAUGAGGUAAAAGCAUCACGUGCUGGCAAACACAGCUUAAAUGUUCAGGAACUUACAACUGACCUGAGCCAUCAAUGUUUCUCAUGCAGGGAACCUGGCAGCAGGGGUUCCUGGGGAACAUAUCUGGCACUGGCGAUGAUCAUAUCUGGCACUGGCCAAUCAGUGAGGAAGGGAUCCUACUGACCCCAGCCCCCGGACCGACUUCAGUGAAGAGACAGAGACUAAGAGGUGAUGGAGCCCUGGUUCCUCAUGCACAGACAAUUAUGGUACUUAACUUGGAACUGCAGAAAGCUUUGGUUCACGCACCUGAAAAGCUAAAGCCGACCCGGAAGUUAUGCUUAGAGAAGAAAAAGAGGGAAGAGCCUCUUAGGUAACUUGAAGAGCAUAAAGGAUCCAAUGAUAAAAACCACUGCCCUGAAGUGACAUGUGCUACUUCUGGGCUGAGGAUUAAACUGCUGACAUGACACCCUCAGGAUCUCUCUUUUUCUCCUCCGCCAUCACAUCCAAAAAUUCUGCAGAGUGGAUGCUUCAUCAGCAUGGGUUUGGAGCUAAGAUGAUGAUGAUACUGAGAAGAGCCUGGGGCGGACUCAUUAUGAAAAGUAAACUUUUAUUGUUUUAAGCCACUGAAGAAAACAAAAAACACUGCCCUGAACUUUCCAAGGUGUAAUAAAUCUCUCUGCAUAAGGCUCUCCAGUCAUUGCCAAGACAGAUCCUGCACUGGGAGCCAUGUGGAAAGAAGACUGGAUUGGAAAUCAGAUUCGGGGUCCUGCUGGGGUUUCUUCCAGAUGACCCCGCCAAUCAGACAUCUGGUCUCAUAUUCCACAUAUGAGUGAGAUCAUAUGAUAUUCAUCAUUCUGUGUCUGACUUUCUGCAAUAUGGAUUGACCUAGAGAUUAUCAUACUAAGUGAAGGGGAAUACAUGGCUUUCUCCUCACUUCUUUGCAUUUUUCCAGUGCCUUUGAUUUUGAAAGGACUACCAGAAUGAUGGCUGCAUUUUCAGUGGUGGAAAUUAUUGCUAUGUCUCAGAAGCAAGGAAUCACAGGAUAUCUACUUUCCAGUGGUGAUACAUGACUCUCAUAAAUGAAAGCCACACCAUCAUUUAUAACACCCUAAUGAGUUUUUUUCAUAGAAACAGAACAGAGAUUCCUAAUGUUUCUUGGAACUUCCCAAAAAAAAAGGGGAAGAAAAAAAAAUUCAACUAAAUGCCCGAAUGUUAGCCCAGCAUUGGAAGAGAGCAGCCUUAAAGAAUAAUUGGUCGCUCCUAAGAAACCAUGAAUAUAACAAAAGCUGUCCAAAGAUAUGAAGGAAGAAAGGAUGGUACUUUUUGAUUAUGAGGUGGGGUGACUGGCAGGCAGAAGGUGGAAUCAUCUGAAGGGCGCUCACUCGCGUGUCUGGUGGUUGACGCUGACUGUUGGCUGGGACCAACAUGGGGCUGUGGCUGGAACACCUACAUGUGGCCCUUCACUCGGCUGCUCAUCUUCCCCACAGUAUGGUGGCUGGGUUCCAAAGGUAGUCGCAAAGCUUUGCCCAGGUGCCAAGAGAGGAAAAAAGGACUCUAUCUCUUGAUGGGUAAGUAGCAAGUUCUGCAAGAACAUGUGGCACUGGAAAUACUAACGUGGCCAUUUUUGGAAAAUACAACCUGCCCCAAUAGGUCCUCUCCUUUCUGAUGUGGUCUGUACUACAUAUCUACAGAGCAAAUAUGGAAAAUUGCUCAGAUCCUCUUGGCUGCCCUGCUGAAUACUGAAGACAACCAUGAGACAUUUCAUUUUAGCUCAGUCAACAUUUUAUUCUUCAGAAGUUUGGUAAAGACUUGAAACUUUUUCCAGUCCGUCCUCUCCCAUCAGUACAACGCCAAAGUAACAAAAGGAGCAAGAAUCGAGGAAGUGUGGAAAGUGCAUGCGUGGAGGAUGGAAGACUUUCUCUGAUUUUGCCAAAAGGAGAGAAUGAGAACAUGAUAAAUAAGGCAGAAGAAGAAGUGCUUUGACUGGACGUUUCGAAACCAUAUCUCCCUCUUCCCCUGCAUUUUGAAUGGGGCUCCGUGUACAUCUGAAACCUGGAAGUUGGUCAUGACUUUUUCUGCAGUGUCUUAAAGGAGCAAAAAAAAUGAUGGAUCAGCUGCUUACAAUCACUUUAUUUCCAGUAUUUUAAAAUUGGUUUGGUUAUUACAGAAGAUUGAGCAGAGUCCCCUGUGCUGUACAGCAGGUCCUUGUUGGUUUUCUACGUUAUAUAUAGCAGUGUGUACACGCUCUGCUCCUCUGUCUCCUGCAUACCCACUGCCCAGACUUCCUGCAUCCUUCUCCAGGACACUUCAGGGAGAGAAGGAGGAGAGCUCGAAGGAGUGGAACUCCACAGCAAUGUAGUCCACCCCGCACUUCACCCUUGGAAACUCCUUGAGAAAUGAAAUUCAUUUCUUCCAAUCCCAGGUCUGUCUUUUUUUAACCAGUUUUUCUCAGUCGGUCGGUACGGAAAAGUACAUUAAUAAAAGGAAAUUAACAAGGUCCUUCAAUCAACUACUAUUUCAUUAUUUGCUUUGUAAGAGAAAAUAUUGAAUAGUCUAUGGUUCUUGCCUCCAAGAAACUUGCAAUCUGCUCCAACCUUUGUAGGUAUGGAGGAUGGAGAAAUGGCUUGAAUUUAUAAAGGAAGGAAUUUAGAGCAAUAAGGAAGAACAUAUAAGGAAAACUAGUAAUAGUAUUAUCCCUAUUUUCCUGAUGAUAAAAAUAAAGCUUAGAGAGAUUAUGUGACUUAGCAGAGCUUACUCAAGUAGAAACUAGUAAAGUUAAACAGUUCAAAACUCUGGUUCCAGUUUCAAAGAUCACAUAUUCUCUACUGCACUUGCUGGUGGUCUCCAAACCUGACUAAUGCAGGUUUCUAGUUUCAACUACUUAACAUAUUGACAUCCUUCUGUGUACUACAUGCACAUAGAAAUGCUGGAUAAAAUAUAACAAAACUAUUUUAUAUACAUUGCCAGGGAAGAAAGAGAGGGAGAGAGAGAGGAAAUUGUUACAGGCCAAAAAGAAAGAAGAAUCUCAUAACCAAUAUGGUAAGUGCAUGAGCUGAUGCCAGAACAAAACAGAGGAUAUCAGACAUGGCUAUAUGACCUAACAGCUAGGGGUUGUGGUUUUUAACACAUGUCUAGAACAGAAGACUUGCCUUUGGGCCUGUGAAAGGUGAGAAGUCGGAACUGACAUUCAUGCAUAAAGCUAGGACCGAGGAAAAGCUGCUCCCACCAUAUAAGGGGACUAUGAAACAUCGUUCACUUUCUACAAACGCAACUGGCAAAAUUCUCACUGAUUAGCUAUCUGGAUGGGAAAAAGUUCCACACAAUAAAUGGCAAUUUAAAAAUCUGUUAUGCACAGGUGUAGAAUCCAAAUUUUAGACUGUUUUCAUAGUAUAGGAAUCCCAAAUGGAGAUAUUUAGGUAGAUACGGGAAAUAGACCAGUGAAACUCCUGGAAUCCUCAAAUGUAAGACUUCUCUGAAUGGUUACCACCAAAUCUUACAGUACAUACAGGGAUUCCACAGGGAAAUAUAACCUAGCCGAAAAUAUGCUCACAAUUAAAAAGUACAGAUUAAGUAAGAAAGUGCUUCACAACAUGGGAGAGUCAGCAGGUACAUGUGGGAGGAAUAGCACCACAAGAACCUGAGAUAUAAUGAUCAAAAGCUAUCUGUAAAUUAAGUAUAUUUACCAUCAUUGAAGAGAUAAAGGGAGAAAUAAAAACCCUCAUAAAAAAAACCAGGGCAUUAAAAAAGAACAAGCAGAUAUGAAACACAACCCAAUAGAACGAUUCAAAAUGAAAAGUUGUGAAUAAAAUUAAACACAAUGACCAAUUUAAGAGCAGAUUGGGACAGUUAGUUAUAGAGAGAAUUGAUGAUAUGAAAGAAGUACCUGAGAAGAUUACCCAGAGGGAGAUAAAGAGAUGAAACUCAAAAGAGAGGUUAGGAGAAAUGGGUGAUUAAAUUAGAAGUUUCAAUUUGGGUCUAAUGGGAAUUUCAGAAGGAGAAAAUGGGGAAGGGGCAAUAUUUUAAGUGAAAAUGGCUAUGAAUUUUUCAGAACUAAGAAAAGCCAUGAAACCUCAGACUGAAGAACCACACCGAGUCUUGCACAAUGUAGAAAUCCACUGCUAAUCCUGUGAAGACUGCAACACUGAAGAAAAACAAACUCUAGUUGAAAAGCAAGUAGAGAGAAAAGACAGAUAACAUGCAAAGGAACAAUCAUUAGAAUAAUAGAGGAUAUCAAUGAAAUAGGGACCAGAAGACAAUUCUCACUUAUCAUCAGAAUCACUUGAGAAGGACAUUAAACUACCGUAUUAUGGUUUUACCCCAGAUGCUUUGGAUGUUGUUCAGGAAUGUGCAUUUUAAAAAGCUUCUCAGGGGCUUCCCUGGUGGCGCAGUGGUUGAGAGUCCGCCUGCCGAUGCAGGGGACACGGGUUCGUGCCCCAGUCCAGGAAGAUCCCACAUGCCGCGGAGCGGCUGGGCCUGUGAGCCAUGGCCGCUGAGCCUGUGCUUCCAGAGCCUGUGCUCCGCAACGGGAGAGGCCCGCGUACCACACACACACACACAAAAUAAUAAAUAAAUAAAAAGCUUCUCAGGUCAUCAAGUACGUUUAAAACCCUCUUUCCUUGGCACCAAAUACAUAAACACAUACAUACAUUCGUAUGCUCACACACAUUGUUCUCUGCUGUAUUUUAGUGAGAUUACCCCUAAAAAGAAAAAUGGAGAGGUUGGAUCCGUAACUAAGAAUCCAUGCUAAAUGGUGCCAGAAGAUGAUCCCAAAAGAACAAGGCAAAGGAGUUAGUACAAGUAUCUCUGACCUCCGAAAUAUUUUCCCAUUUCUGUCUUCUCCAGUGUACAUAUGACUAGAACCAGAGGGCACAUCAUUCUGCCUCAUACCUUCAGAAUCCUGGGUGUGUGUUUGAUGAGACUAAUGAAUGUUCCAAAUUUUCAGAGUAUUUGGCAAGACAUGCUUUCUUUCUUACUUGGUAUAUCAUAUUAAAUACAAAAGAAACCUUAACCCACCAAUAUAAGAAAUUCAGUCGACCUUUGUGGACAUCUGUUUUCAGAUUAGUGGUUGUUUAACUCUUAUAAUAAAGGCUAACUCUACAUUAAAGUAAUGCUGAGUGUAAUUAUAAUAGUUACAAUAGCCCUACUUUUGGAACUAAUAGCACCACUUCUAGGAAUUUAACCUAAAUACCCAAACACAAAAAAAACCACAUACACAAACAAAGAAAACUGCAGGCCAAUAUCACUGAAGAACAUAGGCGCAAAAAUCCUCAACAAAAUACUAGCAAACCGAAUCCAACAAUACAUUAAAAGGAUCAUACACCAUGAUCAAGUGGGAUUUAUCCCAGGGAUGCAAGGAUUUUUCAAUAUCCGCAAAUCACUCAGUGUGAUACACUGCAUCAACAAAUUGAAGAAUAAAAACAAUAUGAUCAUCUCAAUAGAUACAGAAAAAGCUUUUGACAAAAUUCAACACCCAUUUAUGCUUAAAAUGCUCCAGAAAGUGGGCACAGAGGAAACCUACCUCAACAUGAUAAAGGCCAUAUAUGACAAACCCACAGCUAACAUCAUUCUCAAUGGUGAAAAACUGAAAGCAUUUCCUCUAAGAUCAGGAACAAGACAAGGAUGUCCACUCUCACCACUGUUAUUCAACAUAGUUUUGGAAGUCCUAGCCACGGCAGUCAGAGAAGAAAAAGAAAUAAAAGGAAUACAAACUGGAAAAGAAGAAGUAAAACUGUCACUGUUUGCAGAUAACAUGAUACUAUACAUAGAGAAUCCUAAAGAUGCUACCAGAAAACUACUAGAGCUAAUCAAUGAUUUGGUAACGUUGCAGGAUACAAAAUUAAUACACAGAAAUCUGUUGCAUUUCUAUACACUAAAGGUCAGAAAGAGAAAUUAAGGAAACAAUCCCAUUUACUAUGGCAUCAAAAAGUAUAAAAUACCUAAGAAUAAACCUACUUAAGAAGACAAAAGACCUGUACUCUGAAAACUAUAAGAUGCUGAUGAAAGUAAUCGAAGAUGACACAAACAGAUGGAAAGAUAUACCAAUGUUCUUGGGUUGGAAGCAUCAAUAUUGUCAAAAUGACUAUACUCACCAAGGCAAUCUACAGAUUCGGUGCAAUCCUUAUCAAAUUACCAAGGGCAUUUUUCACAGAACUAGAACAAAACAUUUUAAAAUUUGCAUGGGAACACAGAAGACCCCAAAUUGCCAAAGCAAUCCUGAGAUAGAAAAACGGAGCUGGAGGAAUCAUAUUCCCUGAUUUCAGGCUAUACUAGCAAGCUACAGUCAUCAAAACAAUAUGGUACUAGCACAAAAACAGAAAUAUAGAUCAAUGGAACAGGACAGAAAGCCCAGAAAUAAACCCACACACCUAUGGUCAAUUAAUCUACAACAAAGGAGGCAAGACUAUACAAUGGAGAAAAGACAGUCUCUUCAAUAAAUGGUGCUGGGAAAACUGGACAGUUACAUGUAAAAAAAUGAAAUUAGAACAUCUCUAACAACAUGCACAAAAAUAAACUCAAAAUGGAUUAAAGACCUAAAUGUAAGGCCAGCUGCUAUAAAACGCUUAGAGGAAAACAAAGGCAGAACACUCUUUGAUAUAAAUCGCAGCAGUAUGUUUUUGGAUCCACCUCUUAAUCAAAAUAAAAACAAAAAUAAACCAACGGGACCUGAUUGAACUUAAAAGCUUUUAAGCCAUAAACAAAAUGAAAAGACAACCCACACAAUGGGAGAAAAUAUUUGCAAACAAGGCAACUGAAAAGGGAUUAAUCUCCAAAAUGUAAAACAGCUCACGCAGCUCUAUAUCAAAAAAAAAAAACACACAACCAAUCAAAAAAAUGGGCAUAUGAACUAAAUAGAUAUCUCUCCAAAGAAGACAUACAGAUGGCCAAAAAGUACAUGAAGAGAUGCUCAACAUCACUAAUUAUUAGAGAAAAGCAAAUCAAAACUACAGUGAGAUAUCACCUCACAUGUGUCAGAAUGGCCAUCAUCAAAAAAUCAACAAACAAUAAAUGCUGGAGAAGGUGUGGAGAAAUGGGGACCCUACUACACUGUUGGUGGGAAUGUAAAUUGGUACAGUCACUAUGGAGAAUGGUAUGGAGGUUCCUUAAAAUACUAAAAAUAAAACUACCUCUGAUCCAGCAAUCCCACUCCUGGGCGUAUAUCUGGAGAAAACCAUAAUUUGAAAAGGUACAUGUACCCCAAUGUUCACUGCAGCACUAUUUACAAAAGCAAAGACAUGGAAGCAACCUAAAUGUCCAUCAAGAGAUGAAUGGAUAAAGAAGAAGAUGUGCAUAUACACGAUAGAAUAUUACUCAGCCAUAAAAAAGAAUGAAAUAAUGCCAUUUGCAGCAACAUGGAUGGACCUAGAGAUGAUCAUACUAAGUGAACUAAGUCAGACAGAGAAAGACAAAUAUCAUAUGAUAUCACUUACAUGUGAAAUCUAAAAAAAAUAAUACAAAUGAACUUAUUUAUAAAACAGAAACAGGGCUUCCCUGGUGGCGCAAUGGUUGAGAGUCCGCCUGCCGAUGCAGGGAACACAGGUUCGUGCCCCGGUCCGGGAGGAUCCCACAUGCCGCGGAGCGGCUGGGCCCGUGAGCCAUGGCCGCUGAGCCUGCGCGUCCGGAGCCUGUGCUCCACAGCAAGAGAGGCCACAACAGUGAGAGGCCCGCAUACCACAAAAAAAAAAAACAAAAAAAAAACAGAAACAGAUUCACAGACUUCGAAAACAAACUUAUGGUUACCAAAGGGAAAACGUGGGUGGGAGGGAUAAAUUAGCAGUUUGGGAUUAACAUAUAUACACUACUAUGUAUAAAAUAGAUAAUCAACUAGGACCUACUUUAUAGCAGCGGGAGUUCUACUCAAUAUUCUGUAAUAACCUAUAUGGAAAAAGAAUCUGAAAAAGAAUGGAUAUAUGUAUACAUAUAACUGAAUCACUUUGCUGUACACCUGAAACUAACAACAUUGUAAAUCAACUAUACUCCAAUAUAAAGUAAAAAUUAAAUUAAAAAGCCUAUAUAUUCAAAGAUAUUCAUUCCAGCAUUAUAUAGAUAUAUGUGGAAAUCUGCAAGUCUCCAGAACGGACAGAGGGCACUAAGAUCUUGGCAAAUAGUUUCAGACACAUGUAGAAAUGCAUUUGCUUUUUGGCUUGAACUCCUUACAUAUAUAUUUGUCUUUCCCUUUUCGAUAGAAAAUGCUUAGAUAAAUAAUGCUAUAUCCACAUGACAGAACUAUGCCAGUUUAAAAAUUGUGUUUGAACAGGUGGCUUACAAAAGAAAUAAAAAUGUACCACAAACAGAGAUAUUUAACCUUAUUAGUAUUAAAGGAAAUAAUAAAAUUUCCUUUUCACUCAUCUGAUAAAAAUUAGUUUAAGAAAAAAAAGAUCGAUAAUACCCAGUGUUGGUGAAAUUGUGGAGAAAUGGGCAUAGCUUUGCCGUUGGUAGUCUAAUUUAGUACAUAGCUUCUAGACAGAAAGUUGGUAAUAUGUAAACAAAGUCUUAAUUCUUUUUUUUUUUUGCUCAGCAAAUCCAUAUAGAAAUAUAUUUUUUUAAAAAUUGAACAAGUGUAACAUUGUUUAUAUUAUGUAAAAAUUGGGAACAACUUAAAUAUCCCCAAAUAGGAACUAAUAAAAUAUGGUGCUAUACAAUGGAAUCUAGUUAGCAAAAAUAUAAUAUAUAGGUAAUAAUAAAAAAUGAAAAAUAGGUGAAAUAUUAUAAUUUUGUUAAAUUAUAGAUCAGAGCACAAAAAAUGCCAAGAAAGAGUUGUACUAAGAAUUGGUAAUGAUUAUCUCUGGGUGGUUGGAACUUAUGGUUAGUUUUCUUUUUUGCAUAGUAUUACUUAUAAAUUUUGCAAUGAAAUUUUAUUUUUUUUUAACAAAAAUAAGAUACAACGUUUUGUUCAUAAAAAUUUUUAGUAUGAGAUAAUACCCAUUAUGGCAAAGAGAUUACAACUAUGUUCAAUUAAAAGAAUAAAGAAUAUAAAUAAAGGAAAAAAAAGGAGGAAGGACUGAAAACUCUCUCCUAAUAGUUUUCUUUGGCCAGUGAAACAUGGGGCAAAUGUUUUCUACUUUUGACUUUUUCAUAUUUUCUAAUAUAUUACCAAUUUUAUUCUUAGAAGAACGAGUAGGAAAUAUAUUUUUUAAAAAUAAAAUUGAACUUAAUAAAGUAAUCAGCAUCUUUCCAUCAUAUUUUACACACCUCUCUGCUCUGUGAAAUGUCCAUACUGAGUCCUAAUGCCAAGUUUCUGGGCUCCAACCAGGCCACUACAUCAGAUAAAGCACGCUCUCUGGUCCCUUUCCAACUCCUUGGUUCUUCCUCUCCAGUCCUGCCUUCGCCGAGCCACCUGAAUGAACUGAUCUUGUCACUCCAUGGCCCUUGAAUCUUCUGUGGCUUCCCAUCACAUUCAGGAUACUAUAUGUAUUCCUUGGAUGGCUAGCCGGGUCCUUCGUGAUAUGCCCCCAACUUACCUAGUUAGCCCUCACUGUCACCACAGACUUCCCACCUUCCGCUGUUGCUCUAACACACUGUAUUUGGACUUGACCUGCUUUCUCACUUGCCUCUGCUUUUGCACAGGUUGUUCCCUUGCCUUCUCCGCUUGGUCCGCCCCGUCAACGCCUCCUUGUCUUUCAAAACUCAAUUUGAGUGUCAUCUCUACUGAGAGAAACCUUUUCUGCCUCUCCCUCUCACCUCCCUUGUCCCCCCAUUCAGUCCCAGGCUCUCUCACACAUGACCCCUACAAACAGCUAAGAGUAUUUGCUGGCCCAUCUCUGUCCUUGAUUGGGUCUUGAGGUCCUUGCAAGCAAGGGCUGGGUUUUUUUGUGACUUUAUUCCAGUGCCUAGCCUACUUUCAUCGUUUCCAGUCAAUAGCAAGCACUCAAAAAUAUAUCCAGUAAAAAUUUCACUCUUGGGUAUAAUCCCAACAUAUGCAAGACAUGUACAAGAAUGUUCAAAGCAGCAUUUUCUGGAUUAGUCCCAAACAGUAAAUAACCCAAAUGUCUCGUAACCAUAGAAUGGGUAAGUAAAUCAUGGCAUUUUAAAGAAAUAAAUCCUAUACAACAGUGAGACUGACUGACUGAAUAUUGGGAAUGAAUUUCACAAACGUAAUGUUGAGUGAAGGAAGCCAGAAAUAAAUGAUGUGUAAUUCCAUUUAUAUAAGCUCAAAAAGCAGGUAAAAGUUAUAUAUGGUGUUAGAAAUCAUGAGAAUGGUUACUCUCAAAUGUACAGGGUAACUGAUAGAAGGGGCAUCUGGGACCCCAGUAGUGUCUACAUCUUGAUCUGGGUGCUGUCUGUGGAGUUUUCAUCCAGCUGUAUGUUUAUGAUUUGUGCAUGUAUCUGUCUCUCAUAUUUUAAUAAAAAUUUUAAUUUAGAAAAGUUCCCUUUGUGAAACAUGUUUGUGGCAUUAAGGACAGUGACAAAUGGGCAGUGUAGGUUUGACUCAAAUGAAUUUCCAGCUUGACUGAUGCUCUUUUCCCCACUCAGAGCAGUGUUUUGUGGCAGAAAGGAAAAUUAAAAAAAAAAAAAAAAAAAAAACGAAAAUCUCUCCCAUACAGAGUUUAGCAUUUGCUUUAAAUGUGAUACUCAAUGGUGUCAGCAGGUGUUAAUUUGGAUAGUUUGACUUCGCCACUUGAAUUUCGGCAAGCUCAAAUAAUUUUAGAGUGAGUCAGGGUAUAAAUAAAUAGCUAUAAUUGGAAUUUCACUCUUUGCUUGCUAUCUUCAUCCUUCUGCUUUUAAGGUUUCUGCCGCCGCUAGGCAUAAGCUUAUUGGCAUGCACACAUCAGUCAAACCUUCCAUAUACUUUGUUGAUUCACAGUUCACUGCUGCAGUUUAAAAUUGGUUUUUUUCCUCUUGGUGUAAGGAUUGUGCUUAAUUAUCGAAAUUAACACCUUUGAGCUGAUAGGGUUUUUUCCCUCCCUUCCAAAUCUUAAGGGCUCUAGAAAUCCCAAACUAUGGGACAUCUUUAAAAACACAUAUUCUUCUCUUUAAACAGAUCAAUGUGGGAAAGGAGCCUUGAACCCUUGUCUCUGAAAUCAUUGCAGCCAUGUUGGCUGUGGCCUUCUGCAGCCUCCACGCUGGAGCCCAUCCAGCCAUCAGUGCGGGAACUCACCGAGUUUCUCUCUCAAGUUCUGUAAUAAAGGCCUUUCAGUGUCUGCACAGAUGGGAAUUCUGCCACCUUCUCAUUUCACAUUUCCUGCACUUUUCUUCCUAAGCACUCUACUGCCCAAAAUAGAAUCACCGUUUUUUAAGUCCAUGUGUAGGAAUUUACAGGGAGAAUGGACAGGGUCUCUGGAGCUCCCUAUAAUUAUCACACCCUGAAGUAAUUUUCCUACUGGCUAUGAGGUAGAUAAAGGAUUCAGAAGGGUGCUCUGAGUGUCUCUCAGAGAACAGCGUGGAUUUUCUUUCGGGGGGAUAGUUGGGGAGGAACCCAUCGCGAGGCAGGGCAUUAGUGCUGACUCUGUGGGCAACAAGGAUACAACAGGACAGGGGCCUAUGCCAGCCCUGCCACCCAUGAACCCCCUUCAUGAGUCCUCUGCUCUCCUGAGGUCUCUUCCUGAUGGGAUAUAUCCUUCCUCUCUACCUUUGUUUUGGGGGUGGGGGGGAGGUGUUCCCAGAGGGAUCAACUCCCCUUACUCCUCUCUGCCUAGUUGAAUUAUCUCCAUCCUUUAAGGUCUUGUUCAAAUCUCACCUCCUCUGGGAAGCCUUCCUGGAUGACUUCAGCUAGAAGUGAUUUCCCCCUUGUUUGAAUUUUUAGAUCUCUUAAUGACUGUACAUUCUGGGGGUGCCCACAUGAAAUAUAAUUUACGGCAAUGAUAAAUAGUAACUGAGUACUUAUGUGCCAGGCACUAUUCUUGCCACUUUACUGAUAUAAAGUCAGAAUCCUUACAAUGACUCCAUAAGUUAGGUGCAUUAUUAUUCCCAUUUUACAGAUGAGGAUCCCAGGGCCCAUAGCGCUAUCGAAACUCCCUCCAUCAGAUUAGAAGCUCCAUUUACCAUCUCUUUGACUUACUGACUUGUCUCUUUUUCAGCACAAGGCUUAGGGACUUGCAGUUGGUAAUUGUUCACCUCAUAUUUUUCCAUUUAAUUUUGUGCUUAAAGGACUUGAGAUCAUGGAAAUAGCAUUUGAAAAUAAUUUCUGUCAUAUAUGCUACCUUUCCAUUUCUGUCAACAUGGAGGAUGGUGCAGUGGAGUAGGUGAGACUGAUAAAAAAAUCGUAAUAAAAGAAAAAAGACCUCAUUUCAUAUGUACUGUACGCCAGGUACUGUGAUAAGUGAUAUAUGUUCACUCUCUUCUCAGCUUUUUCCCCCUCAAAGAUCAGAGACAGGUUGCAAAAUGAUCAGAUAAGUAGAUGAAGGCUUUUUAGCAAAAGGAAUAUGAAUGUAGGAAGUCAAACAGAAUCCUGGGUUCAGUCAUUACCCAAGAAUGCAUGCCCUGAGGACCCUCGUUUGGAGGUGAACCACAAACUUGGCUCUAGGCUUCCUAGUGUUUAUGACAAAAAAGGACACACAAUCAAUUACAACACUCAUAUUGCCUUUAAGAUAAAGACAAACCAGCUAUUCAGAGGAAGCACACAUAAAUGUCACAUCAAAUAAUUUCCUAUUACAAUUCUCAGUGCAGGCCAGUCUCAUUUUGCUGAAGGGCAAAAUGGUAAAAUCCAUUCGAGGAAGAGACAGACUAUAGUGUCUAGCUAUGCAGUCUAAUUUGGUUAAGACACUCAUAGACUGUACACAUUUCAGGAAAUUCUCUCUCAAGUGGGCUCCAUACUAUCUGCUCCAGACAAUUACCUUUCCACCUUCAACUAAAAGCUGAAUAGCAGUUUUGGUUUAACACCUAUGAACACUCUGUAAAACUAGCAUGCCCAGGAACAGAUUUUGGAAAACCUAGUCAUACAGGCAACAUAAAUCUUUAAAAAUUGAGGUUUUCAGUGGGGAAAAUGAAAUGCAAACUCCUUUGCAUGAUUUAUGAUGCUUUUCACAACCCAACCUCAACCUGCUAUUCCAGACCUAAUUUAUUCCCACCCCUCACCCUUCACCAUCUUUGUUUAGCCCAAACUACAUAGAGUUCCAUGAAUAUACUCCAUGCUCUCGCUCAUUGAGACCUCAUAGAUGCUUCCUGAAACAUCCUUUCUUCUCUCCCUUAUCCCCUGGCUUCUCUGCCUACUGGGGCUUGAAGGAUGUCACCUUUUCUGAUUCCACCUAACAAUUAAUCUUACCCUUUACUACGCUUCCAUAGCACUUUGCUUCUAUCACAUUUUAUUAUCCCCUUUUGUUAGCUUCUUUGAUUUUUCUGCCAAACUGUGACCUCCUCCAGGGUGGAAUGUGUCUUGUUUAACUUUUUAUCCUAGCACUGGGGACAGAGUCUGACCUGGAUUUAUUUCAUCAGAUAUUUAUUGAGUGCUUCCUGUACUGACAAAGCUGGGACAAUUUCCAUCCUGUGAUGCUAAGUAAAAAAAGAUGAGUUACUCCAUGGUGACCCAAAUAUGUUUCCACUAUUCUUUGAAGCCAUCCAGUAUUGUAUAGAUGGAUUGCUCAAUAUGGCUUGAUUUAGAAAAGGAUGACCCAGUAAAUAGGUUGAACCACAAACUGAUUCUACUGAACUCUUUUUUUUUUCCUGACUCAGUAUUUCCCAGAUUUGAAAAGCUCCAAAGGAAGCUGCACUUGUAUGUUGCUAUUUAUUCCAAGUGCCUUCUCUUGUUUGUGUAACAUCUGUGAUGCCAAAGAACUUUGGAAAAUUACACUCGGCCUAAGGAUGCAUCACUUCAUCCACCAAUAAAACAUAUGCCCCUUACAAGUCAAACAGAGCCACCAUCCCAGGAGACCUUAAUAAUUUUACUGCACAGCUAAGAGGAGGGUCAGAAAUUUUAAAAAGUUGUCUACUCCUCCAUGAUCUCCUGACAUGAAUAGGAGAUUUAAGAACUAAGUUACCAAAUUUCAUUGUCAAUGAAACAACCUAUUGAAUGGAGGUAUUGUGCAAAUCUGACCUUAUCUCUGGACUUCCAGAGCAUUUAAUCAGCCGUCCAUUACAAAAACCCAUAUUGUGGCCAUUCAGAUCCACAUAAACACUGUGCAAAUAUGAGAAUGUUUCCAUAAAUGGGGUUCCAAAAGUGUGUUGAGCAAGCAAUGGAAGCAUUUUAGAUACAGAAAUCAGAACCAGUAUUGGAAUUUACUUUACAUCAAAUUGUUUAUAUUUAUACUCUAACUAGCCUAACAAAGUUUCUUUUGCUUUGUGAAGUAUAUACUCAAAGUAGAAUGACACUAGUAAUAUUUGUUAAAAAAUGUUAUUUUACUUUAUAGAGGAUGUUCAAUAUAACAGAACAUACAUCUUUCAGCAGAAGGUAGAUCUAGUGGACAAGAAAGAUUAAGUCCAGGACCUUAUAAAUUCACCAUUAUUUUUCUAUUUUUAUUUGCAAAACGUCACCAAAUUUACAUUGAGAGUUAAUUGUAUGCCAGCCUCUUAGUUGGUACCAGAGAAAGAAAGAUGACUAAAAUAUUCUACCCAGGCGGAGCUUAUAGUACAUUAGGGAAGACAGACCAGCAAAGAUACAAUUUCAACAUUAUAUUAUAUAAAUUCUAAGAUGCAGAUACUCAUGAGUGCUAUGGAAACUCAGAGGAAAGGCACUGAGGAGAGGUCAAAGAAAGGCUUCCUGAAGAUGCUGAGUCUUAGAAGGAUGAACAAAGCGAGCACCAUUUAUUAGAUGGAGAAAAAAUGACAAUGAAAUAAGAGCAGUAGGGACCAAAGACAAGAUCUGGGAUAUCCCAUAGAUUAAGGGGUAGGUGGAGGAAAAGGAGACUUGGAAGGGGAUCAAGAAGUGAUGAGAGAGGUAGAAACAGAACCGGGAGAAAAUAGUGCCAGAGAAGUCUGUUGUGGAAAGCAAGAAAUUAUAGACAGCCAAGUACAGAGAAAAAGUAGAGAGAAGACAUCAUUGCUAAUUAUUAGAGAAAUGCAAAUCAAAACUACAGUGAGGUACCACCUCACACUGGUCAGAAUGGCCAUCAUUUUAAAAGUCUGCAAUUAACAAAUGCUGGAGACAGUGUGGCGAAAUGGGAACCCUCUUACACUGUUGGUGGGAAUGUAAAUUGGUGCAGCCACUAUGGAGAACAGUAUGGAGAUUCCUGAAAAGACUAAAAAUAGAGUUGCCGUAUGAUCCAGCUAUCUCACUCCUGGGCAUAUGCACAGACAAAACUACAAUUCAAAAAGAUAUAUGUAUCCCUAUGUUCACAGCAGCACUACUUAACAAUAGCCAAGACAUGGAAACAGCCUAAAUGUCCAUCAACAGAUGAAUGGAUAAAGAAGA